GAUGAACGCUAGCGGCAGGCUUAACACAUGCAAGUCGAGGGGUAUAGUUCUUCGGAAUUAGAGACCGGCGCACGGGUGCGUAACGCGUAUGCAAUCUACCUUUCACAGAGGGAUAGCCCCAGAGAAAUUUGGAUUAAUACCUCAUAGUAUAGCAGUUUCGCAUGAAACCACUAUUAAAGUCACAACGGUGAAAGAUGAGCAUGCGUCCCAUUAGCUAGUUGGUAAGGUAACGGCUUACCAAGGCAACGAUGGGUAGGGGUCCUGAGAGGGAGAUCCCCCACACUGGUACUGAGACACGGACCAGACUCCUACGGGAGGCAGCAGUGAGGAAUAUUGGACAAUGGGCGCAAGCCUGAUCCAGCCAUGCCGCGUGCAGGAUGACGGUCCUAUGGAUUGUAAACUGCUUUGUACAGGAAGAAACACUACUUCGUGAAGUAGCUUGACGGUACUGUAAGAAUAAGGAUCGGCUAACUCCGUGCCAGCAGCCG
rnacentral:rRNA from 1 species